UCUUAGUGUUGCUCGCGGUCGAACACUGGCUCUGCCGUCGCCGUCGGCUGGGACCCUUCGUCGGAGGUUGGCGUCAUCACGUAGACCACCGUGACCUCUAUUCCUCCUUUCAUACACUUGUAGUGGGAUGGACUCGCGGAAAUCACGAUUCGCGAUUGUGUAGCCGCGCCGACCAAGAGGGCUAGGGCUCUGUUGCUGUGGACGGUCAUCUGCAAAGGCCUGGUGUCGUCUCUCCUGGCUUGGGUCGACGUGGGGUUGGGGUAUAGGCAUCAAUCCCAUACUGGUUGCAACUCUUGGACUUUUUACUUCCAGGUAACGCAGUUACCAUCUGCUUGAGAUUGCGAAGAGCUUCGUCGAUCCCCUUGAUUCGUUGUUCGAGUUUGUCGAUCCUCCGUUCGUCGUCAGCGGUCCGACUGCCUUCAGUACCUUCAUCAGCCAUCGAAUUAAGCUUCACGGCGGUAUUUGAAGAUUAUCAUCACCGAGGUCGAAUGCAAGGUGUAUGCCAUGUUCAUGUGCAUUGGAUGAUUCGCGUGUAGAAAUCAGGCAUCCAUGAGCACUUGAAGUGAACUCAAUUUAUGCAGUGAUGUGAAUGAACACAAGAAGCAUCAUGAUUUUUGAUAUUCAAAAUCGUUCUUCAGAAAAGCUAUGAACAUCGAAAAUGAAAAGAUGCUGACAGUGAGUUCCAUAUCAGAUUUAAUCUGCCGGGUGAUAUUGACAAAAAAUUUCCCUUUUAAGGACUUAAAACUUUCAAAUGAUAUGAUUCAAUUAGGUGGGUUAAUGUCUACCGCACUUGAAACUACAAGUGUUCAGUGUAAUAAAGAAAAGUAAAACUUCGAUCUGUGGUCGAAGGCUUAAGCAUGCUUGAGCACUCAAGAAAUAGAAUUUUCCUUUGUUUUA